rnacentral:rRNA from 1 species
AGAUUGAACGCUGGCGGAAUGCUUUACACAUGCAAGUCGAACGGCAGCACGGGGGUAACCCUGGUGGCGAGUGGCGAACGGGUGAGUAAUACAUCGGAACGUGCCCAGUCGUGGGGGAUAACGUAGCGAAAGCUACGCUAAUACCGCAUACGAACUCUGGUUGAAAGCGGGGGACUCGCAAGAGCCUCGCGCGAUUGGAGCAGCCGAUGGCAGAUUAGGUAGUUGGUGGGGUAAAGGCUCACCAAGCCUGCGAUCUGUAGCUGGUCUGAGAGGACGACCAGCCACACUGGGACUGAGACACGGCCCAGACUCCUACGGGAGGCAGCAGUGGGGAAUUUUUGGACAAUGGGCGCAAGCCUGAUCCAGCCAUUCCGCGUGCAGGAUGAAGGCCCUCGGUUGUAAACUGCUUUUUGGACGGUAACGAAAAGCCGCGUCUCUAAUACAGGCGUCAUGACGGUGCCGUCAGAAUAAGCACCGGCUAACUACGUGCCACG